rnacentral:rRNA from 1 species
AGAAUCAACGCUGGCGGCGUGCCUAACACAUGCAAGUCGCACGAGAAAGGGGAGCAAUCCCUGAGUAAAGUGGCGCACGGGUGAGUAACACGUGAAUGAUCUACCUCCGAGUGGGGAAUAACCAAAGAAAUUUUGGCUAAUACCGCAUAACACUUACGAGUCAAAGCAGCAAUGCGCUUGGAGAGGAGUUCGCGGCAGAUUAGCUAGUUGGCGGGGUAAUGGUCCACCAAGGCGAUGAUCUGUA